GGAACACAAGCUUUGGUCUUCUGCCAAAAGCAAUUCAGUUGGUCCUUGCAUUUGACCACUUCACACUCAAAUUACUUAAAAAUGAAUACUUUUAUGAGUCCCCAAUUGUAUAAUUGAGCUUCAUAUGUUUAAAAUGAUUUCUUUCUUCUCCAACAAAGUAAUCAAGAAAGAGACAGAAGGAAACAAUAAGUGUUUGAGAUGAUUCUCUCAAAUUAAAAAAACCAAAGCUCACAAUUCCACUUUGCUCCAACACCAAUCAUACAUAAGCUUCAGCCAUUGUAAG
rnacentral:lncRNA from 1 species